rnacentral:rRNA from 1 species
UAUCUCUGUAGAGUCUGCAUAUCAAUAAGCGGAGGAAAAGAAACUAACUAGGAUUCCCUCAGUAACGGCGAGUGAAGCGGGAAGAGCUCAAAUUUGAAAUCUUCAAGGUUCUACCUUGACGAAUUGUAGUUUAAAGAAGUGUUUUCUGUUGGAGUUUUGGUAAAAGUUCUUUGGAAUAGGACAUCAUAGAGGGUGAGAAUCCCGUAUUUGACCAUUACUUUCCAGCGUUGUGAUACACUUUCAAAGAGUCGGAUUGUCUGGGAAUGCAGUCCAAAAUGGGUGGUAAAUUUCAUCUAAAGCUAAAUACUGGCGAGAGACCGAUAGCGAACAAGUACCGUGAGGGAAAGACGAAAAGAACUUUGAAAAGAGAGUUAAACAGUACGUGAAAUUGUCAAAAGGGAAGCGUUUGACACCAGUGUUGUUUUCUCGAAAAUCAAUUAAAAAAGGCAGGAUUUUGUGUUGUAUUGACUUUAUCAGCUUUCUGCACUCUUUUCUUGUCUUUUUUAAUGCACUUUUCGUUUAACAAGUCAACAUCAAUUUCUUUUGUUGUAAAAGGGUCAUUGGAAGGUGGCUUUCUUUUCGGAGAAAGUGUUUAUAGCCUUUGGCCUCUGCAAUCGGAGAGAUUGAGGUCUGCAGCGUAGAUCCUUCGGGGUUAGAUACAUUUGUGCUAAGUUAUAGCCUUUCAUAGACAACUUGUUGACUAUGAUCAGUCAUGUAGCUUACUCGCUUAUGCUAUUUUACCUACGCUUAGGAUGUUGACGAUCAGCUGAGCGCG